AUGACGAGCCUCUCUUCUUAUGUCUUGCUUCUCAUUUGCGUGGCCACACUGUACACCACCAAUGCAUCCCAAGAGGCAAGGCUGAGAGAGUUCAUCUCCUCUAGGAGGGACAUUGACAGCAGCACCGACACGUUUAGACCGCGUAGCAUAGCCGAGAGGGGCGCUGGCAGCCUGGACACAGAGAGCUCUGCCUCUGACCAGAGCUCUCUGAAGGCGGCCGACAAGAUCACGGCGCUGCCCGGGCAGCCGGAGGGCGUCGAUUUCGACCAGUUCGGCGGGUACGUGACCGUCGACGAGGAGAACGGCCGCGCCCUCUUCUACUACCUCGUCGAGUCGCCUUCCGGUGCUUCAGAGAAGCCACUCCUGCUCUGGCUCAACGGAGUGGUAACCCUGACACUUGCAUACAAAGGGCCAGGGUGCUCGUCGCUGGGGUACGGGGCAAUGCAGGAACUGGGCCCGUUCCGUGUAACGGAAGACAACAAAACGCUCGGCAGAAACAUGCACGCUUGGAACAACGGUAAACCUACGGGCGCCUUGUACAGACUAAUACCGGCCGGUGUGGGAUUCUCCUACUCCAACACGUCUUCAGACUACGACCUCAGUGGCGACGAGCGAACCGCCGACGACGCGUACGUCUUCCUGGUGAGAUGGCUGGAGAGGUUCCCGGAGUACAAGGCCCGCGCCUUCUACAUCUCCGGCGAGAGCUACGCCGGCCACUACGCGCCACAGCUCGCCGCCACCAUCCUACUCCACAACACGUACAACAACAGAACCAUAGUCAACCUUCAGGGCAUCUUGGUUGGCAACCCUUAUCUCGACGACAAGAGGAACAAUCAGGGCACCAUUGACUUCUUCUGGACACAUGGGGUGAUGUCGGACGAGGUCUACGCCAACGUCACCGAGCACUGCGACUCUGCAGGUGAAGCAUGCAGCGGCGCCUGGGACGCGUUCGACCCCGGCCAAAUUGAUGCGUACAACAUCUACGCUCCCGUUUGCGUCGACGCGCCCGACGGAGCGUAUCACCCCAGUGGCUACCUGCCUGGGUAUGAUCCGUGCAGCGAUUAUCCUACCAUUGCCUAUCUCAACGAUCCAGCGGUGCAGGAGGCUUUCCACGCUAGGAUGACAGAGUGGUCGCCAUGCAAAAACUUUACGUGGAAAGAUGCGCCGGUGACUAUGCUCCCAUCCAUCAAAUUCUUGAUCGAGAACAAGCUUCCCGUGACUAUGUGGAUAUUCAGUGGUGACUUCGACUCCGUGUGCCCUCUUCCGGCGACGAGGUACUCCAUUCAAGACCUUGGACUUCCUGUGACCACUCCAUGGCGCCCAUGGGUGGCAAAGGAGGAGGUGGCAGGGUAUGUCCAACAGUACGCCGGAGGAUUGACGUUUCUAUCAGUGAGAGGUGCCGGUCAUCUUGUUCCGUCCUUCCAGCCUGAGAGGGCGUUGAUAAUGUUGACUUCUUUCCUGAAAGGGAUGCUCCCGCCUUACACACAGGACUAG
rnacentral:rRNA from 1 species